rnacentral:lncRNA from 10 species
CUGGUGGGAAGUGAUUGAAUUAUGGGGGCAGAUCUUUCCUGUGCAGUUCUCAUGAUAGUGAAUGAGUCUCAUGAGAUCUGAUGGUUUUAAAAAGAGGAGAUUCCCUGCACAAGCUCUCUUUUUGCCUGCCACCAUCCAUGUAAGAUGUGACUUGCUCCUCCUUGCCUUCUGCCAUGAUUGUGAGGCCUCCCCAGCCACUUGGAACUGAAGCAAACACUGCUAUUGCCACCUUUUUGCAGAGGAAGGUACUGAGGUGAAGCGACUUGCCCAAACCCUACAAAAAGCACUGUGCCAGGUGCUGGAUUUAUAACCACAAAAACAGAGGGGCAGAAUGUCUGCAUUUCCAGUGGGCAAGACAGACAAUGUGCCUAUCUGUGCAUUUCCUUGUAAAAUCCAGCUUUCGCAAGAGCAUGAACAAAUCAGUUUGGCAAGACCUCCCCACCCUCAACAUCUGAUCACGUGUCUCAUCCUCCAUGAUGCCACAGAACUCUGCAGAGCCACCACCAGCAAGAAGGUCCUCACCAGAUGCAGCCCCUUGACCUUAGACUUCUCACCUUCAAGAACUGUGGUCUUCAGGGCUGUCUCCAUGAAGUCAUCACCAGCCUUCCCAGGCCAGGACUCUCCAUGCCAUCCUUAGCAAGGAGAAGAAAACAAAUACCCGGCAUCCAUUUCCAGGUCCUGCAUGAUGUGAUGGGGCAUUUGCAUAUGUUGAUUACUCUGCCUGAACCUGCUUUUCCCUCCCAUCUGCACCUAAUUAAUGCUUACUCAGCCAAGCAUUACUUCCCCAGAAUCCUGGCCAAGUCUAAUGCCCAUUAUGUGAGUUGUUGGGGCACCCUGUCUCUCUCCUCUAUAGACCUUCUCCUUUUGUAAGUUUGUAUCUGUUUCCCUAAUGAUUUGACUAAAUGUCUGUCUGGCCCAUUAGGGUGAAAACUUAGACUCUGUUAUGGGUUGCAUUGUGUCCCCACAAACAAGAUAAUGUUGAAGUCCUAAUCCCAAAUGCCUGUACAUAUGUCCUUAUUUGGUACUUGGGUCUUCGCAGAUUUCAGCAAGUUAUGAUGAGGUCAUUAGGGUCAGCUGAGUUCAUAUGACUGAUGUCCUUAUAAGAGGAGGGAAAUCUGGACACAAACAUUGACCCACAGGGAGAGGGGAGAACACUUGUGAAGACACCAAGACACACAGACAGAGGGAAGAUGGCCAUGUGCAGAUGGAGGCAGGGACUGGACUUAUGCUGCCACAAGACAAGAAACACCUGGGGCUGCCAGAUGCCGGAAAAGGCAGGGAAGAGUCCUCCUCCAGAGUCUUCAGAGAGAACAUGACUCUGCAAGCACCUUGAUUUCAGACCUCUAGCCUCCAGACCUGUGAGAAUAAAUGUCUAUUGGUGUUAGGCACCCAGUUUGUAAUACUUUGUUACAGCGGCCCUAGGAAACUAAUACACACCAUAACCCAUAUGAGGGCAAGAACCUUAUGUAUUUUUACUCAGCAUUGACUUCCUAACUUCUAUCUCAGAAGAAGUGCCUGGUUAUGUAAUCAUUCCCUGUAACAAUAAUCUUUAAAUAAGGAAGGUGAUUUUCACAAUUACCUAGGGAACUUUUACCAGGUGGGCAAGAGCCCACCAUGAAGUCUACCCCAAGAAGAUUCACCCACAUAUCUAUAAAACAUUUAAUAAAAGAAAGAAAUCUUCCUUCUUAUACCAGAUUUCCGUAGCAAGUAUUACCUGAGUCAUUAGGGCAGCACGCCCUUCUUUCCCUGAAUUAUCUGGGUAAUUGCACAACUGCUUCACUUCGGUUGCAUAGAUAGUUAACUGCGCACAUUUGGUGUGGUAAUUGGGUAGUGGCCAAGGAACACAAAAUACAUGGCUUCAAAGCAGGUGCUUACAAAAAGGACUCCACUUAAACUGAAAUUCAGCCCAAAGAGUUGAUUAGAAACAACUCAAAAGGGUCAGUUAGUGAGUCUGAGCACUGGGGGAAAGGGGCAAAUAAUACUGUCUUUUUCUUUAAACCUAGUCAGAAGAGAAGACAGGAAUAUAUGAAACAGGAGCAAUCACAAGAACGUAACAGAGGACACAGGUGUCAUGUUCAUGGCACAGAACAGAAGCCCCAUAGAGUUCAAAAGACGGGAUGACUGGAGAUAUCCUUGACACAUUGAGCUAAAAAAAAAAACUAAAAACAAGGCCAGGCACAGUGGCUCACACCUGUAAUCCCAGUACUUUGGGAGGCCAAGGUGGGUGGAUCGCCUGCGGUCAGGAGUUCGAGACCAGCCUAGCCAACAUGGCGAAAUCCCAUCUCUACUAAAAUACAAAAAUUAGCUGGGGGUGGUGGCAAGUGCCUGUAAUCCCACCUACUCGGGAGGCUGAGGCAGGAGAAUUGCUUGAACCUGGGAGGUGGAGCUUGCAGUGAGCCGAGAUCACGCCACUACACUUGAGCCUUGAGCCUGGGCGACAGAGCAAGACUCUAUCUCAAAAAUAAAUAAAUAAAUAAAUAAAUAAAUAAACAAAAAAGCA